UACGAAGGGAGCUAGCGUUGUUCGGAAUCACUGGGCGUAAAGCGCACGUAGGCGGAUGUGUCAGUCAGGGGUGAAAUCCCGGAGCUCAACUUCGGAACUGCCUUUGAUACAGCACGUCUUGAGUCCGAUAGAGGUGGGGUGGAAUUCCUAGUGUAGAGGUGAAAAUUCGUAGAUAUUAGGAAGAACACCGGUGGCGAAGGCGGCCCACUGGAUCGGUACUGACGCUGAGGUGCGAAAGCGUGGGGAGCAAACAGG
rnacentral:rRNA from 1 species